rnacentral:misc_RNA from 1 species
GAAAUGCGAUAAGUAAUGUGAAUUGCAGAAUUCAGUGAAUCAUCGAAUCUUUGAACGCACAUUGCGCCCGCCAGUAUUCUGGCGGGCAUGCCUGUUCGAGCGUCAUUACAACCCUCAGGCCCCCGGGCCAGGCGUUGGGGAUCGGCGGAAGCCCCCUGCGGGCACAACGCCGUCCCCCAAAUACAGUGGCGGUCCCGCCGCAGCUUCCAUUGCGUAGUAGCUAACACCUCGCAACUGGAGAGCGGCGCGGCCACGCCGUAAAACACCCAACUUCUGAAUGUUGACCUCGAAUCAGGUAGGAAUACCCGCUGAACUUAAGC